UAUUUUAUAUUUUAUGCAGAAUAUUAAAUUGCAAGUUUAAAGGAAUAAGUAACUUUAUUAAAAUAA
rnacentral:tRNA from 1 species